AUAGGACCAUGGUCAGUAGAAGAUGGAGAAGAAAGAAGCCUCAUGUCAGGUUGCGACAAUUUACACGUGUAGGCCAAGAAUGUGGUACUGAAAACACCAGCUAUUUGCCAAUAUGAUUUUGACGUCACGUAAGGCACACUCGAAUCCAGCCUCUUUUUAUGGUACUAGCCGCCCUUGAGCUUCGGACACGCCAACAAAUUAACUCUUUUAAUUAAAAUAAGCGCACCGAGAUGGUCACAACAUGCGCCUGCCCACCACCCAGCAUUCAGGAAACCGACGCCCACUCAUGCCUGUGUUAUAUUAAAACUGAAUAAAAAAAAUGUUCCGUGUUUUUUAUUUGAUAAUGAUUAGGGGGAAGGAAAAUGAUAUAAAUAUAACUGUUUUAACACUUUCAAAUUUGCUUAAUAUGAUCUAUUCAUGUUGCCGUUGGGGUAAACGGCUUUCCAAGGUACCAGGUUUUUAAAACACAAAAAGCUUUCAAAACGCGCCAUGUACUUAGCCAAAUACUUUUUGAGCAUUUAAAAAUUCUAAACCCACUGAAAGAAUUAACCUACAAAAUUUUCCACCAAUAUUCAUCAAUUGUAUUUAAAGCUAGCGUUAUAGAUUUUUUUUUUCUAAAUUUAUUCCAUAGUAUGAUAGGUUUUUUGCAUCUUUUGAAACAAAUGCGACCGUCCACCCCUAUAAAAAUGUUUUACAUUUAAUAAAAUUCAGAUGAACAUUUAAUUAUAUGAAGAUUUAAAUUAAAGAUUUGAAAAUCGAAAACUUGGAAAGAUUCUGACAACUUGACAACUGAAAUUUGGACAGCAAGUAUAUUGUGAUAUUAUAAGGGUGAAUGAACGUUUUUCCAAUUCUUAUUUUGUGAAAAAAAAUGGCAUGGUUAAAAAAUACCGAGUGUUCUCACUAUCAGAUAAGUUUUAAAUUCCACUAAAAUGUUCAGGAAAUAAUGUUACGAGUUUGAAUUUAUCGUGGAGUAGGCAAAUUUCAGACCAAUUAUUUAAUGUGAGUCUAUCUCCCAAGAGUUGAUAUCUCCUAACCCUACAACUAGUUCAAAUCAAUCAAUCUAUCAUCUUUUGUAUGGUGUGUAAGUUUUAAGUAAUAUAUUCAGUCAGAUUUUCAUUUUUGCGGUUUGUUUACAAUUUACAGCUUCUGCUUCCAUUUUUAUUAAGGGCUUUGCUUUCACAUUCUUUUCUGUUAAAAAAUUGUAAAUUUAAUGAUAACUUCCACAAUGGAUUAUGUACGUUUUAAAUAUUUGAAAAUAAAAUGGUUAAUCACC